AUUCAUCAAUCUGAUUGCAGUAGACAAUAUAAGUGGGGAAAAUUUCAGGACAAGGAGGGAAUAAUUACCUCUGACCAGCAGAUGCCAAGCAAUCGGUAUUUUGAUUCACGCACUUGGUGCUUCGAUUGAGGGGAGGAGGGCUGAUAUUUACGAAGAUCAUUGACACUGAUGAAAAGGAGGGUAUUCCCCUGCAUUGUGUGCUUCUUUUACAAAUAAUGUUAACUGUUGUUGUUUUUUCAAUUAUGUUUUUAGCAAUUACAGUUAAAUAUUGUUUACCAUUUAUGAGAUGGUGGUGUUUGUUUCAAUUUAUAGCAUUUCUCUGUCAAUUGUUUGUUAUUUGGCUUGGAUUGCUCUUCAUUCUCAGUUUGGAGCUCGGAAAACUUGAGAAAUGAAAUCUAAAAGUUUAGUGGACCAUUUUUAAUUAUUUUUUACACUAAAUUAUAGCAUUGUUCUAAUAUUAGAUUUUUAUAAAGUAUGGAUUGCCAGAUUUAUCUAGAUAAUUUAUUUUUGUUUUCCUUUUCCAAGUUCCGAAUGAAGUCUAGGACUCUGUUACACAUUAUUUCUUUUUCAUGGGAACUGAAUGCAACAAAAUCUGAUAGAAAGAACAUGUUAUUUAUUAGAACCCAAUCAAUAGGCUAAGGGGUAUGUGAUGGUUUCCUUUUGCUUCAUUUACUAUGUAUGUACUUAGGUUGGACACUGGUAGUGAUUUUAGCCCCACUUCAUUCGUCAUCAACUUAUAAGAAAUACACUCUGAGCCUGUUUUGUCACAGAUUUGGUAAAUCAUAAAAGUUGUUUCAGUGAGAAUAACUUUUAACUGUUUUCUUUGGAGAACAAACAGUUUGACCCGUCAUCAUUAAGGCACCUAACUUUAUCUUCUUAUGCCAUUAGAUGAGUAAAUGUAUCGACAACUUUUGUCAGAACUCAAUCUUGCUCAAGUAAUAGUUUAAGUAUAUUUAUAUUUGUACGUGAGAAAUUGGGUUUCAUAUUGGUUUUGCUUGGGAUCUUUACCGAAUAUAUCAUUCAUUUCUUCUGUAUUUUUUUUUCUUUUUUUCUUUCUUGAGAAGGGGUGAACUUGUUCAGCGAUGAUGUUUUGUUGAUUACUCUGGAAUUUAAACAACCUAAUUGAUAAUAAGGUGGGUAAAAGAGACAAUUUGCAUCAGAUACCAAAUAGUUUGUUUUGUGGGUUGUGGGAGAAAGCAUUGGUCAAAGUUGAGAACAAAAAGGUCCAACUGAAAUUUUUGGAACUUUUUGUUUCUAACGGUUGAUCGACCAAAGGAAUAUUUAAAUUGUUGGUUAAUCUUAAACAUGUUGAGAAGUGUAGCAGGAAAGGCAGCAAGUGCUCUGUAGGCGCAGUCAAUUUUACUUUUGGAAUAGAUCAACUUGCAGUUCUGGUAGUUGUGUUUUUCUGUGUUGUCAUGCUAGUUAGUGCUCCAUCCACUCCAAAAUUAAAGAUAUAUUUCUAAAACGACAACUUUAAGAAUAAUUUUUUGUUCCCAAAUGUACCCAUAGUAUUGUCCAAGUAUUUAGUAGUGGUGGUGUGAUUCUAGAAUGAUAGUAACAUAGUAAUGGCAAAUUAGGGAUAUCAUGUAACUUUAUAGUCCUAAAAUAGAAAUUUAUCUCUUUUUUCGGAACGGUGUAAAAAGAAAAAUGUAUCUCUAAUUUUAGAACGGAGGGAGUACUAUUUUUUUUCAUGAACAUUGGUACUAUUAUCUGAUGCAGACUUGUGUAUACAGUUCUAGAAUCUAGAGAGUUUGGUGGUUGUUCAUUAUUUGUUCCUCCAUCUAUUAUUGGUCUUGAAACUUUCAAUGCUGUUUUCUGUAGAGAUUCUUUUAUCUGUGCUGUUUCUGUAGGAUUUUAAUCUUGUUUGCUGAAUUUAUUUGCACUUUUUGACUCAGAGUUCCGGAGAUCAUAUCCUUUGCUGGGAUAAAACAAUUAUUAAGCAUCUUUAUUAGUAUCACUUUGAAGUCAUUUGAUGUUGAAAAAUUGUUCUCCUCGAGUAUUUUUUUAUGAAUUCCUGUCAUUUUUUUAUUUCCUUUUUCCUUUUUCCAUUUUCUUAUUUUAAUACUGUUGUCAGUAUAACUGCAAUUACAUGCAUAAAUGAGGUUUCGAUACACCCUUUAAUAGCAUGGGUUCCAAUUUUCUGCUGUGAUACGGUUUUGAAGUCAUUGUUUACCUCAUUAAUACUGUGUCUUUAUAUGCAGUGCUGUGCUUUUUUGAGUUGUUCGCCUUCUGGUUUUCAUAUAUUCAAGCCUCUCAUUCAGUUUACACAAAUGGCCUCUCUAAAUUAGACUGGUGCAUAAUUGUUCUCAUCUCAAUUGAAAUGCGGCAUUUACUUCUCACUCAUAAACAUUUAUGGCAAUUUUUAAUUUGCAUACCAGCUUUUGAAUAUGUAUGUUUAAUUUAUUUUCGUUUUGUUUUAUUUUAUAUGCAGUGUCGAUUAUAGACAGGUUCUUAGCCUACUGGUGACCAGAUUUCAAAAAGCACCCUUACGCAGAGGCUUCUAAUUAAUGAACUAUUUUAAUUUUUUGAAGAAAGACAACACUAUUCUUUAUAUACCAAAUUAUCAGUCCAAGUCUUUUGUUCCAGAAGAGUAGGGGAAGGGGAGAUACUAAGCAAUCAAAAGGAUGGCUUAUCCUGUUGGCUGCAAGUUCUCAGAGUGAACGUGACAAUCUGAUGUUUCUUUCCAAGGUAUUAUUUUGAACAUCUACAUGGUUUUUGGGUUUACAUAGUGAGAUUUAUAUUUUGGCUGGUACUCUGUAAUUUCUUUAGAUAUGCUCUCAUACUUGACAUUGUUAGAUUUGCUUAGCUAUCAACAUCUAGGUCCUUCUUUCUGAAUUGCAAAGUUUGCUAUUACUUGUCAUCCUAAAAACAUUUAUAAAUUUUGUUUUUUGCAUCUUUUAAUGGAGUGGCAUUGUCAAGAAUAUCUGUUUCCAUGUAUGAUACAGCUCCUUCACAUUUGGAGGUUUCAUAUAACUUUUGGCAUUGAAUUAAUUCAAGACUGACAGAUUAAUUAAUUGGCGCAGCCUUUUGACAGUGAAAACCAUUUAAGCAAUGAUUUAUUAUUUAAUUACUGUUUUUCUUUAUUCACGUACUUUUCCUUUUCCGUUUCGCUGCCCCUUUUUGCUGUACGCGUGCUUUCAUAAAUAAGAUAAUCAUUAAUAUCCAUCACGGAUCCACCAUUGAGGUGCUUAGUAGAAGUAUUAAAUUGAACUAAGGGAUAUGCAAAACCUCUUAGUAUUCAAGCAUUUCAUUUUUUUGAUGCAACAAAUACAGCCAAUAUAACUAAUUGUUAUUUCUUCAUAUAAUAUAUACAUAAACUACUGAUGUAUACAGCCAAUAUAUAUAUCUUUAUUUCUUGGUACUUUUUUUUUUUGAUUAUUUGCUUGAUAUAACAUUAUUAUUUUGCUUAUCUGUUGCAUAGUUUACUGCCAUAGAUUUGUUUCGUUAUUAUAGGUCUCAUGUUAGUAAAAUUUUCAAUAGUACUUCUGCUUCAUUUAUCAAACUUAUGAUACAAGUCCUUUAACUCAAGUGCAAGAGGCCACGAAAGUAACCUAUGUUUAUAAACUACACCUAUAUGGUUAUUAAAGUCAAUUAUUGCUACUUUUUUAGGAAAGGGAAAUACAAGUAUACAAGGC
rnacentral:lncRNA from 1 species